CCAGCAAUCCCAUUGCUGAGCAGUAGUCGGAACAUACAAGAAUUUGAAUGGAUACAUACACCCCAGUGGUCACUGCACCGCUACUGACAAUAGCUGAAAGAUAAAAGCAAGCUAAACUCAGAGGAAGGGGCACAGAAGACAGUGCAUAUACACAGGAAUUAAGAAAAUGAAUGCAAUACUGCCAUGGGCAGAAAAAUGAAUGGCCCUGCAGCUUAUCGUACAACUGUAAUAAGACAAAGAAUGACGGUUAGGCAAUGAUAUCACUGAUGCCUGCAAUCCCAAAAUGGACACAAAUGAACUCUUUACAAAACAGAGAGAGACCCGCAGAAUUGAAAAAGAAACUUAUUAAAAAAGAAAGGUAAGAAGACAUGGAUAAACUAGCAAGUUGGGAUUAACCCGUAUACAGUAAUAUAUUUAAACUGGAUAAUCAAAAUGGACCUACUGCACAGCACGGGGAAGCCCAUUCUAUAUACUAUAGUAAUAUGCAUGGGAAAGAACAUGAAAAAAUAUAUGCAGAUGUGUAACCAAAUCAGGUUGGUAUACACCGAAAAAGAAACAUACGGAAAGUCUUCUGUGUUCCCAUAGAAAAUAAAAAAAAUGAGAAAAUGCCAAUGAUAUUUCCCUCAGGUCUCAGGCACCUGGCGAGGUGACACAUUUCUGGAGCUUGAACAGCCUUGUGUCCCAGGGCUGGACAGGGUGGAGCAGAGGCGGUGCCAGCACGUAAGCCCCACUGCAAACCGAGCACCUGGUUCCCUGUGAGGAUCCCACAUCUCCAGACCCACACGGGCCCUCCUACGGCUCAGCCAAGCCCAGUGCACUGCAGUGACGUGGACCCUGUCAGCUGGAAAACCUUUGAAAAGACCCCUGCUCUCCGAGUCUCCUGUUGGUGGGGUCCCCAGAGGCAGCCCCCUUCUUGGAGGCACCUCUCCUCCCUGUGGCCGCUCCCUUUGCAUAGUGGUGUAGACAGGGCUUGGGACUUGUCUGGAGCUUGAACUGUAAGUUGGAAGAAGUAAUGAGACAGGAGCUCUGGAUGGCUUCUUCUGGGAUAUUCCAUUCUAAUCUAGGACUCAGUAACAGGAAUUCUCUUUAGCUUUCCUUGCCUGAGCCACCUGAGUGGGGGGUGGUGGAAAUCAGAAAAUGCUGCCGCCUUGUGGCCAUUCCCCGGAACAACAGCUGUAAACCUGGUGCUUCUGGGUACCACAUACUCAAAAGGCCUGAGGUGUAAAAACCCC
rnacentral:lncRNA from 1 species